AGCUUGUUUUACUUGCCUUUUUUCUUUUGAUAGGCAAUCUAGGCUUGAACCCGUUACCUCUGUUGAAACACACCUUGUCUACCAUUGAGCUGUGGGCUUGAGCCCAUUUUACUGAUUCCUUAAGUACAUUUUUGGAAUUCCUUUUUUUUUUUCCUUCUAUCUUUGAAUCUAAGCUGGAUACGUCUGUCAAAUUCAGGGUGAGGUUUUCGGGUUCUGCCGUUUUUCUCAUAAUAGUGAUGAUAAUCAAACCCUAUAUUUGACUGCAAUGCAAGGCCAGCAUGGAAUCAUUGUCUCUUGGAACACUAUAAAAGAUUAUGGGCAGGCGAUUGGGACCAAGGCUUCUUGGUAGGGCUGAUGAUUCUAUGGUUGUUGAUGCUAGAAGAUGCUUAUUAUGAAGACUAGGUGGAAAUGGUGAUCGAGAAGAUGCUUCAUUAAGUACACAUGGUCGGACGGGGUCUUUGAAUGCCCAUUAUUGCUAGCUAAUUAUAGAGGUUCUGGGUUCUUGGUAUGGUGUUAUUCUUGAUGCAUGUUUCAUGGCUUGUUUCUACUGUAAGAUCAAUGCCUCUCCAUACCACGGGUUCUUACCAAGUCGUUGACGGGAAGAAACGUGGCUACAAUUUGGCCUUUAUGAUCUUUUUGGAUGCAUGCUUGGGUUUCUUUGAGACACAGUUUUUACAAAUUAAAAUUGUGAAAAGCUCUCUUUGGGCAGCUUCAACAGCUAAGUGGAAUUUUAAAUGCAUCAUAUGGAACACCACGGUCCAGCUUUGAUGAUUUUGGUUGGGGGAAGGGUAUCUGUUCUCUAUAUAAAAUGUUGCAGGUUGUUUUGCAAGCU